UGAAAGAGUACGGAAUCCGUAACUGAUACUUCCAAACCAUUUAUAGCACACUCCACAAAAUCUUACCCUCAAAUGACAAUGAUAUCAAAUAUGAAACAUUAUUCACAACCUAAACAUAUUCACCUCAAAUUAAAAAAACUAAUCCAAACUAACAAUUUCAAAAUAAUUCAUAAUCUAUUUAACACUAAGACCGAACGACAAAAGCAACUAGAUCAAAAUAAACUAGCCGAACCAGAAACAUAGCAGCCGACCAGACCCAGAGACUAAACCCUAUCCUUAAGUGAUCCAAUCUGAGAAAGUGGACCCAACCAUGAAGGCCCAACCAAUCAAGAAGCUGAAACAGAAAUAGCCCGAAGCCUAACCAAGUUAACCAACAUCCAUCCUUCCCGAAGUCGUCCUACCCGAAGCAACUAACACAGCUUGCCGAAGAAAGAAGAGAAAACAGCCAGAAGCCGAAGCCAUCGUACCUGUAGAGGUGGGAUGACAUACCACCCGAAGCGAAAGGAAGCGAAAAGCUGAAGUCCGGAUCCACCAGUCCAACAGCCAUCCUACCCAAAGUUGGGAAGCCGAAGCCAUCCUACCACCCCCAGUUGCAUAGAUACAGCCAAGGCACACACCAAAUACCCACCCAAAACAAGACCGAAGUACCUAGACACCGAGACCGAAGUACCGAGCACAUCAAGCACAUCUGCUCGCCCAAGACCGAAGUACCGAGCACAUUUGCUCGCCCAAUAUGACCCCUCCAACGACUGAACCAAACACAAAUAGCAAAGAAUAAGAGGCAUCCCAACAAGGAGUACUAUUGUAGGAGGCCCAUCAUAGCAAGGAGUCUCAUCUGAAGUACCCAACUUAGCCAACCUUGACCAAAGCUGCCUCACCUCUCUCCAAAAGCUGCCCCUCCUCGCCCAGCAUCUCACUGCUGUCCCACCUGGCCCAAAAUGCCUUUACCAAAAGUAUUAUGAGUACACAAUCACACUACUCGAUAAGGAUCCCCCAAACCAGUGAAGUAACAGAACCACACUACUCCAGCAGCAAAAGACCACGACAGUACCAAAUCAGACCAUGACAAGAUCAUGGCAAUGAGACCCAACACCAAAAACAAGAUUAAAGUAACCAAUUGCAAAAAAUUAGGUGAAGAAUGAGAUGCUUUGAUAAAAAGAGAGGAAGAGGACAAUCUACAUUUGAUGAUAUUGAUAGUGUCCUUAGCAACAAUUGAUGGGGGGGGUAAGCUUAUCUGAAUACGUCUUUAUAUUUCUCGCCUCCCAAAUCUUGUAGAAAGUAGCAGCAAAGGUAAGAUAAAGGAUUAAUUCGGGCGCGCUUGGUUUCGGGUGAGCAUGGCUUCGGGCGAGCAUGGUUCGGGGCAAGUUAUGGCUUCGGGCGAACAAGGUUUUGGACCAUGUGGUUGGGCAAGCAUGGUUUCAGGCUAGUUAUGGUUUCGGGCAAGCAAGUGGUUCGGGCGAGCAUGCGAAUUCGGGUAUGAUGUGGUG
rnacentral:lncRNA from 1 species